GACGAACGCUGGCGGCGUGCCUAAUACAUGCAAGUAGAACGCUGAAGGAGGAGCUUGCUUCUCUGGAUGAGUUGCGAACGGGUGAGUAACGCGUAGGUAACCUGCCUGGUAGCGGGGGAUAACUAUUGGAAACGAUAGCUAAUACCGCAUAAUAGUAGAUGUUGCAUGACAUUUGCUUAAAAGGUGCAAUUGCAUCACUACCAGAUGGACCUGCGUUGUAUUAGCUAGUUGGUGGGGUAACGGCUCACCAAGGCGACGAUACAUAGCCGACCUGAGAGGGUGAUCGGCCAAACUGGGACUGAGACACGGCCCAGACUCCUACGGGAGGCAGCAGUAGGGAAUCUUCGGCAAUGGACGGAAGUCUGACCGAGCAACGCCGCGGGAGUGAAGAAGGUUUUCGGAUCGUAAAGCUCUGUUGUAAGAGAAGAACGAGUGUGAGAGUGGAAAGUUCACACUGUGACGGUAUCUUACCAGAAAGGGACGGCUAACUACGUG
rnacentral:rRNA from 1 species